AACUUUUAUUCAAAUGAAUUUAACUUGGCCACUUAGGCCCCACUCUCACUAAUAUGAUAUUAAUUUCAAUGAUAUUGUCCCUCCCUCAGAUACGCUGGGUCCAGGUGUCCUGAGUGACCUCCAGUUUGUGGAGGAGGGGGCUGAAGGCCAAGUCCGAGGCAGGACGUCCUCCCCCCAAGAGGCCACGGACACCGUGAGGAAGCUGUGUGGUCUUACCUCUGACCAGCAACAGCUGUCGGAGCUGUUCCUGCACUUGGCCUUUCAACUGAGAGCCCUGUCCCUGCCUCAGCUCAGAACACUGUGGCACGACGCCUCCUUCAAGUGCCGUAACGACUGGCAGCCUCUCUUGGACGGCCUACCAGCGUGUGGGUCAGAGGAAUGCAUCGCCCUCUUAACAGACCUCAUCCGGGACGAGGAGAUAGAGCAGGAGCGGGCCCACUCUUUUCUCACCACCAUCGCCCUCAUCCCUCACCCCUCACCACACAUCGUCGGCUCCGUCAACGUACGUAGGUCUGAAGGGACGUUCUGUGGGGAUAUUGACUUUGGGUUGAACAAAAACAGAGGUAUAGAUGCUGUACCUAUUUUAUUCGCCAUCUCAAAUUAUUUAUAUGGCUGAGAAUGUUCAAUAUAGGUCUACAUAUAAUUCAAAAUCGUCGCAGGAAACUCAACUGACACCUUUACUCUGCGACACUGUUGAGGUCACAUCCAACCACGCAUGCUUUGGCGUCACCCAUUAAACACAUAAUCAGAGAUAAACAUACAAAUACAAUGGGUCCAUAAUAUAAGGCCGUUGUUUUUCCCCUCCUUUUCUCUCAGGCGUUGCUGAAGACACCUGAGGUGUGGACCAAGGCCCUGUUGACUGGUUCUUCCCUGGUCCACCUGCUAUGUCGGAGGAGCCAGUCUCCCUGCAGUCUCAUCCCCCAGGUCCAGAGCUUCAUACAGGCACUGAAAGACACCCUGGGAGAGGGCUGUGGAGGAGACAAAACAGAGGUACCUAGACACAGAAUUAGAUCCGACUCCAUAUGCACAGAUUAUGAUGGCGUGCUGGUAUUGGAGUUUUUAUCACCGUCUGGUGAUUGUGCUGUAUUUAAAAUGUGAUAUUACAGUGUGUAUUGUGUGGUUCAUACUUGACCUGACUCCUGAACCUGAGCAUCUCAAUGGCUGCUGCUGCUGCUGAUGAUGAUAAAGAUAGCAGCAACAAGCAGGGUGAUGAUGAUGAUGAUGAUGUAAAGUGAUGAUUCCUCCUACAGCUGCUCUACGCAUUGAAAGCAGUGGGAAAUGCGGGCUUGGCUGCUUCAGCUCUCAUCCCUCAGCUAAACCUCUGUAUACAGAGCCAUUCCACCCCUCUGGAGCUGAGACUCACUGCCCUACAAGCUUUCAGACGCAUCCCCUGCAAUGCUGACGUGAGUAGGAUGGCAGAUAAUGGUCACGUUUCUAGGGAUAACCUCUGGGAUUGAACUGAACUUUAAAACAAAUAACUGUUUUCCCUCAGUUCAAGGUUUAGAAAUAGGAUUUUGUUUUCUUCUGGAGCCUGGUUUGUGUUUAAUUGGAAUAAGCUGAGAAACCGUGUCUCACGGAAUAAAGCCUUGAUUGAUUUAAUCAUUUCAAGUAGCAGAGGUCCCAUGGAAGGGAUACGAUACAAGACAAGGGAUGCGAUACAAGACAAUACGUUACUGUCCAAGAGGACGUUACAGUUCAAACAUGAUUUGACUUGAAUACAUUUGACUUGAAUACAUUUGACUUGAAUACAUUUGACUUGAAUACAUUUGACUUGAAUACAUUUGACUUGAAUUGUGUGAAAUAUCCUGUUGUACUAAAACAAGUCAGUCGGUAUACUGUUCAUACCACAGGAGGUUGGUGGCACCUUCAUUUGGGAGGAUGGGCCCGUGGUAAUGAAUGGAGGGAAGUAAGUGGAAUGGUAUCAAAUACAUAUUUUCUGUGUGUUUGGUGCCAUUCCAUUCGCGCCGUUCCGGACAUUACUUUGAGCCGUCCUCCCCUCAGCAGCCUCCUGUGGUUCAUUCUGUAAUCAGAAGGAUCUCUCCACGUGGAUUCACGCUGACGUUGUGGGGAUAUUGAGGUGACCUUGGGGCGAGGGGUCUGUGACUGACAGCUCUUUGCUUCUCCAGAGGGGGUCUGUGCUGCGGCUCUACCGUGACCACCAGGAGGAGGUGGAGGUCAGGAUCGCUGCAUACCAGCAGAUAAUGCACUGCCCCGACCCCGAAGUGCUUCGAGCAGUGAAGACGACUCUGAGCCAUGAGACCUCCAGCCAAGGUUUGGAAAAAAAGGGUUCCAAAAGGGUUCUUUGGCGCUCCCCCAUAGGGACUUUUUGGUUCCACGUAGAACCCUUUAGGGUUCCAUGUAGAAUCCUCAUACGAUUUUAUUUUAGGUCCUAGAUUGCACCAGUGCUUAAUUUGUAAAUUGCAAGGUGCCGGAACAAAUACGUGAGCCAGAGAGGAGAGUGACUUAGGAGACUCUGUGGUCCUAGAAAACAUGAAAAAUAAAUCCCCUUUAUAAUAAAGCAUUGCAUGGAUUAUCAUUGCGUUUGCAUACUAGCAUAGAGGAGAAGCAUAGAGGCGCUUGCAGAAGUUGCACACAUGAGGACAUUUUUUUUGUAGCCUAUGUUCCGGGAAAACGGUUGCCUUUUAUAAACGCAUUUCAUGCAAUUCAUUUCAUGCGAGGUCCUCUGGUAUCACGGCUCUUGCAGCAUGAACUGACAUGUUGUCCACCCAAUCAAAGGAUCAGACAAUGAAUCUAGUACUGAAAGCACAAGCUACAGCUAGCCCUGCAGUGCAUCAAAUCUGUUGCGUAGUUGACUCAAAGAGAGAGAAAGACAAUAGUUG
rnacentral:lncRNA from 13 species